CAUGUAGUAGGCAUUCAAUAGAUCAUGUUGUGACUGAGGGAAUCUUCCUGAAUCUGGGCCAGUCAUUUAGAUGAGGUUGGCAGCUUUGAGUGCUGUGUCUGUAUGUACCUCUGCUGGGAGGUCUGGCAGCUCCAUGAGGGUGUUAGACAUUCGCAAGGGCAUUCCGGGGCUGGUUUCUAUCUGACUGUCUCCCUAUGGUAUGUCCUUCAUCUCCACAGCUCCUUUGAGAAAGAAGUUUGAGACAAGCAGGAAGUUAGUUUCUGACAGCUUUUAGAAAUCCAGCUCCUCUUCUGAAGUCAGUGUGAUUGUCCAAUCGACACAGAUCCACCCACAGCUCUCUGUUUUGUUCAAACAUUAAUUCUGCUCUGGAAGCUACCAUCAUCCUUUUGCUUGUUGGGCCUUACCUUUUGAUCGUUGGGAACAGGAGGAACAAUGGUAGACUUAAAACAAAGGGUUAAGUGUCCAAAUCUGACAUUCACAUUGUCAAUAUAGUACAUGUCCUAGAAGAAAGGAAAGGCGACUAAAGCCACCAAAGGGGCAUUAAUACAAGGAUCUACAGAGUUUUAGAAGAAGGCUUGGUUCCAGAAAAACCAAACCAGAGAGAGGUUUUGACCUGUAAAAUCAUAAGGUCCUGAAAUGUAAACAUGCGUUCUUUGCCAUUCGUGACAGAAACUGGCUGCAUGUCAAAAUGGGAAAGGACCAGAUCGGGGAAAAUAAAAGGAAAAGCUACCACCAAAGUAAACAAAACACACAAGAGCCUUGGCAUCAAGUAACAAGUAACAUCGAGUAACAUGUAACAAGUCUGAGGGUGAUGAGGUUUGUGAAGGGCUUGAAUGAACUCAGGUGAUAGAUUUGAGAGACAGUGAAACUAUGGAGAGUGGAGUUGCUGGCCGGGAGCACGGGCGUAUCUUCCGCCGAAGCCUUCUUUCCACCCUGGUUAGAAUUGCAACCCAAACUCAGGAAUGUCCCUCUUCUUAAUCUGGCUCAUCCACUCACAGCCCCUUGAACGUGGGCUGCUGUGAAUCGGUGGUGACGAUCUUGCAAGAAACAUUGUGAAGUUAACAAAUAUGAUUUGUAACGGGCACUGCAGAUAUAAAGUGCCGUAAAAUGCUAAUGAAUGAUAGUGUGCGUCCACUGGUUAGCGGGCCAGCGCAACAGGCCAAGGAUAACAGAAAAAGAGACUGCCUUUUGAACACACAAAGUGCUAUCCUAUUCAUCUGGCCUCAUGCCUGCCACCAUGGGAGGCUCUGGCUCGGCCCUCAUUAUUCACCCAAACAACUUCCUUUCCCUCUCUGUCUGGGUCUGCAGGCCGCUUUCUGAGCAAAGAAAGAUUCCCUGAAACCUUUUGGCGCCAUCAACAACAGCAGCAGCAAGAAAAGUUUGGCUUGAAAAAUUCAUUCAUAGGAUGAAAAAAUACAAUGGAAAUCUAUCAUUAUGGAUGUUUCUGAGAGAGGGAGAAAAAAGACCCGGGCUUUGUUUUGCAUUUUGGUUUGUGUGUGUCCAUAUGUGAAGACACAGGUGUGGGAUUCCCUCAAGGGAGGAAUUGCUGGGUCAUAUGAUAGUCUGAUUUUCCAGUAUGUUUUCAGAUCGAAAAUUAUUGGAAGAAACUGACAACCUAACCUA